UACAGAGGUCUCAAGCGUUGUUCGGAUUCAUUGGGCGUAAAGCGCACGUAGGCGGAUUUGUAAGUCAGGGGUGAAAUCCCGGGGCUCAACCUCGGAACUGCCUUUGAUACUGCAAAUCUCGAGUCCGGAAGAGGUGAGUGGAAUUCCUAGUGUAGAGGUGAAAUUCGUAGAUAUUAGGAAGAACACCAGUGGCGAAGGCGGCUCACUGGUCCGGUACUGACGCUGAGGUGCGAAAGCGUGGGGAGCAAGCAGG
rnacentral:rRNA from 1 species